GGACGAACGCUGGCGGCGUGCCUAACACAUGCAAGUCGAGCGAGGAGAUCCUUCGGGAUGAUCCUAGCGGCGGACGGGUGAGUAACACGUGGGCAACCUGCCUCAUAGAGAGGAAUAGCCUUCCGAAAGGGAGAUUAAUACCUCAUAACAUUGCAGUUUCGCAUGGAACAGCAAUUAAAGGAGCAAUCCGCUAUGAGAUGGGCCCGCGGCGCAUUAGCUAGUUGGUGAGGUAACGGCUCACCAAGGCGACGAUGCGUAGCCGACCUGAGAGGGUGAUCGGCCACAUUGGGACUGAGACACGGCCCAGACUCCUACGGGAGGCAGCAGUGGGGAAUAUUGCACAAUGGGGGAAACCCUGAUGCCAGCAACGCCGCGUGAGUGAUGACGGCCUUCGGGUUGUAAAGCUCUGUCUUCAGGGACGAUAAUGACGGUACCUGAGGAGGAAGCCACGGCUAACUACGUGCCAGCCGCCGC
rnacentral:rRNA from 1 species